UACAGAGGGUGCAAGCGUUAAUCGGAAUUACUGGGCGUAAAGCGUGCGUAGACGGUUAUUUAAGUCGGGUGUGAAAGCCCCGGGCUCAACCUGGGAAUUGCAUUCGAGACUGCAUUGCUGGAGUACGGAAGAGGAAGGCGGAAUUCCCGGUGUAGCGGUGAAAUGCGUAGAUAUCGGGAGGAACAUCAGUGGCGAAGGCGGCCUUCUGGUCCAGUACUGACACUCAAGUGCGAAAGCGUGGGGAGCAAACAGG
rnacentral:rRNA from 1 species